rnacentral:rRNA from 1 species
CCUACGGGAGGCAGCAGUGGGAAUUUUGGACAAUGGGCGCAAGCCUGAUCCAGCUAUUCCGCGUGAGUGAAGAAGGCCUUCGGGUUGUAAAGCUCUUUCGCAAGAGAAGAAAACUUACUUUCUAAUAAAGAGUGAGGUUGACGGUAUCUUGAUAAGAAGCACCGGCUAACUACGUGCCAGCAGCCGCGGUAAUACGUAGGGUGCGAGCGUUAAUCGGAAUUACUGGGCGUAAAGCGUGCGCAGGCUGUUUUGUAAGUCAGAUGUGAAAUCCCCGAGCUCAACUUGGGAACUGCGUUUGAAACUACAAGACUAGAAUAUGUCAGAGGGGGGUAGAAUUCCACGUGUAGCAGUGAAAUGCGUAGAGAUGUGGAGGAAUACCAAUGGCGAAGGCAGCCCCCUGGGAUAAUAUUGACGCUCAUGCACGAAAGCGUGGGGAGCAAACAGGAUUAGAUACCCUGGUAGUCCACGCCCUAAACGAUGUCUACUAGUUGUUGGUGGAGUAAAAUCCAUGAGUAACGCAGCUAACGCGUGAAGUAGACCGCCUGGGGGUAAGGUACGGUCGUUCGAGAAGUUAAACGUUAAAGGUAAGUUAGUUACGGCGUGAGACGNGCCGACGGACGACGACGAGGGAGGAGG